rnacentral:rRNA from 1 species
ACUCCUACGGGAGGCAGCAGUGGGGAAUAUUGCACAAUGGGCGCAAGCCUGAUGCAGCCAUGCCGCGUGUAUGAAGAAGGCCUUCGGGUUGUAAAGUACUUUCAGCAGUGAGGAAGGUGGGUAUGUUAAUAGCAUAUUCAUUUGACGUUAGCUGCAGAAGAAGCACCGGCUAACUCCGUGCCAGCAGCCGCGGUAAUACGGAGGGUGCGAGCGUUAAUCGGAAUUACUGGGCGUAAAGCGCAUGCAGGUGGUUUGUUAAGUCAGAUGUGAAAGCCCGGGGCUCAACCUCGGAAUUGCAUUUGAAACUGGCAAACUAGAGUACUGUAGAGGGGGGUGAAAUUUCAGGUGUAGCGGUGAAAUGCGUAGAGAUCUGAAGGAAUACCGGUGGCGAAGGCGGCCCCCUGGACAGAUACUGACACUCAGAUAGCGAAAGCGUGGGGAGCAAACAGGAUUAGAUACCCUGGUAGGCUCU